AUAUCCAUUCAACUUGGGAUAUUUUUUUUUUCUUCCAAAGUUGGGAUAAAUUUGUUGACUUGUUAUGACUACUAAAUGAAGAGAAAUAUCUUGGGACAUGAAGAAAUUGAGAAGGAAGGUAGAUGGAAAUUGAUCAUAUGGGUGUGGGCACAACAUCUCGUACAAUCAGUAAUCGUCCAUCAACAUUUCAAGGAUCACACGACCCAACUAACCUCCACUCGUUUUAUUUGUUUUCAUCCUUCUUGCUUCCUUUUCUAUUAUACUUUUCAAGAGUGUAGUGUCUCUGUUUAAUUUGGUCAUCUUCAUUUCUACACCGUACACUCGACUGUGGUGCAACACCAAGUUUAAAUUGGCGAAGGUUGUUCAGACAUCCACCAUUAUUAUUGUUUCUCUGUCUCACCGGUGGGUCAAACCUUUCUCACACGUGUCAAAGUUGGCAGAUACAGUAUCAACACAUCCACACGUACAUCGUUUCCUACAAUCUCUAUAAAAAUCAAAGCCCUCAUUGCCCAACGCAUACCAGAUGAGUUUUCAUUUCAAUCCAAGGUCUACGGGACCCUGCAGCUGGUUGCAGGUGGAUUCUGUAUGUGUGGAGUGAUUACAUGCACUCUCAUCAUGGAAUUAUAUUAAUGAGAACUCUUUAAAUUCUUUCUAUAUCCAGCAAACUAACUUAAUAAUGUUCAUCAUCCGGGUGAGUGAUUUCCUUGCUACGCUAUGUCAAGUGAGCAAUCUUUUGCCAAUUAGCCUUGGUUUCGUUGUCUGUUCGACCUUGAUCAAACAUGUAUGUUUAGGAUACCAAAACCCUAAUUUAAAAGUGUUUAGCACCAAAAGAAAAACCACCUAAAUUAGCAUCUUCUGUUGAUGAAGCCUAGGAUCUUAAAAAGAAAACAAGAAAAACUUGUUUUGGUCCUCCCUCUCUACUGAUGCUAUAAUCAGUUAGCUAGAUUUAUAUAUGCACAUGCACCAUGUAUCUUACGAGGAAUUACUUGGGUAGUUUUGUGGUUUCUGUAGAGCACAGACAGUUACUGUCAAAUUAAACUAUGUGCCUUUCAGGUUUACUAUAAUAAAAUAACUAUUAUAAGGGAAACUGAUUAGGGGUUCUCGCUUAAUUAUAAUCUAUAACACAUUAGAUUUUGCACGUCUGAAAAGAAAUAUAUAUAUAUAUAUUUGUUGGUUCCAAGUUAUAGGUAGAGUAUAUAAGGAUGAAAUAUAUGUUAAUGGUCACCGAAAGUUAUUCAUCGAUUUCCUAGAAGCUAGAACAAGACAUACUAAGAUUAAGGAGCUAGAGCUUCAUUAACAUGUUUGCUGAAGAAGCAGUUCAAGUAGGUUUGAGUUUGAGAACUUAAGAGUAAAUGCGAUAAGAAAUUAUUUUUAGUAUAUCUCAUCACUGGAAAUUACAAUCAUGAUCAUGAUCCAUAGUUUUAUUGAUUACAAUUACAAGUUCAAUAAAUUAUGUCAUCAGAUAGAGUUUAGAUGAAGAAGCAACCUUUUAAUUAGGUCUGUAACCAUAUUGUACAUCGCUUAUCUUUUUUGUCGAUUAGGUUGAGCUUUGUACUCGUCCUUCGGGCCGGUGAGGAGUCUGAGUCAGGGACCAUGACCUUUUUUACGCAGUAACCAUUUAAGAUCUAUCCCAAUUUAAUACUUUUAUCUUUUUCAUCUUUUUUUUGGGGUGGUGGGGAUUGAUGAGAUAGCUUGACAGAACACAUUGACGUUUUCAAAGUGCUAUGUACGAAAUGAAGUCUUGAGGCCCUUGUUUGUAUUGUGCAUUGUUUUUAUUCCAUGUUCAUGCUCUGAUGCUUACACCCAUCUUUUUACAUUAUAGGAACCUUAUCUUAUCUCUCCAGUACAUUGCUUUUACUACGUAAUGAUCACAGGAGAAUAUAGGAAGCUCAGAUCAAGAGCCAGGAUUGAGUCUAAAAUUUUCAAAGUAACGUUUUUAUUCGGUAUAUAUGACAUUGUUCACACCCAAUAGAAUCAACGGACUGUCUUCUUGUCUCACCAAUUUCUAUGCUAAAUCUAAUAAGUUAAAAUUCCUUAAAUUUCUAAUAUACUGGCAGUCAAGACCUUGUACAAGUUUUUCUUUUUUCUUUUUUUCAAAAAUAAUAUUAAUGAGCAUUACUUGAUCAGGUGGUUAGGAGGUGGAGUCUAAAUUUAGAUUAUAAUAAUAUAUACUACUAGUAUUCUCUUCUUUUAUUAACAAAAAAAAAAAAAGAAAGAAAAGUUUUUAUUAGAUAUAAGGAUACAUGCAAUAUACAAACAGAAAAGGGUAGUUCUAACAAAAGUUUGGAAGGUCGAACAUGCGACGAAUAUGAGGUGUUAAGCAAAGGACUACUUAUUUGACAAGGCUUUGCAUGGAAUUCAAUUCCCUAAAAUCUACACAUGCGUUCGACUCUGUGCCAGAAGAAAGGGCCAAGGAAAGUGCGGAGCUUAUCCAAACCAGCCAAAAAUGGGUAAAUUAAAAACAUGGCUAUUUACAGUUUUAUAAGUUAUCAAAGUCUGAUUAAUAUCUUGCUUUUCUCUUUAAUUUUUUCUUAGCAGGAAUGACGGGUCAGAGCGAAAAUUCAAAUUUAAAUUUAUUAAAGAAAUUAUGAGUCUACUAAACAAGUCAGAUGCUUUAUUAAGGGAUUAAAUUAAAAAUUAUUUUCUCCAAUCACCAUAAAAGCAAAUAUUUUAGGUAGAUAGAGAGAAGACUUUAUCCGCUCCUUACUGCUUUGCUUAAAGGUGCAAGAAUGAUUGAUACCUCUUGAUUGGCUUGUUGUUUUAUUAAUUAAUUAAUUAAUUAGUUUCUUUCUAAAAGUAGUUCUUGUUUUGGAUAUUUCUUUGUCGAUGACAUCCGACUUUUCUUUGCCUUAUCGAGCAGGUUCUUUCCCUUAAUUCAGUUAUGAGUUCCUUUCUUCCCACUAUUGAAUUGGGUUGUACAUUUUGUUUUUGAAAAAUGGUUUCGUUUCUGGCCUCAACGUUUUCUUAAAAGAGAGAUGUUCUCACGAUUGCCUUUUGAUUUUGUUGCACUUGUGUUUAUAUUUCCGCCAGUGCAUGUUUAUUUUUAUAGGUGGUGCUAAACUUCUCCAAGGACCUUCGAUUACUCAUCUUGAAGACACUCUCGAUACCCCCAAUUGGGUUACUUUGGUACUUCAUCAGCUAUUCUAAAAGCUAUACCGAUUCUUCUCAUUGAAGCUGCCAGAAAAUGCUAACACUGGAUCUCAAUUUUUCUUUGUGAUUGGUUCUAUACAGAAACCGUUUAGUGUAGAUCUACUCUUUCCUUUACUAUUUCUACUAUUUGGCUAAACUUAACAUAUCUCUGCUUGAUUGGCUUGCAUAUUGUUUUUUCUACCACACCAUGGGCUUCGAUGACCAAGAAUAUGUUGACUUCAUCUCCCUUGCCGGUAAUGGUCAGAUUCUAGCGGUUCUGUUCUCUUAAGAGGUGGUAUGUGGUGUAAGGUUUUAUAAAAAGUACAAUAUUUUGCUGGUUCGAAUCCAUCCUGUCAUGUGCUCGGUCGCAUCUAGGGUUUGAUUUUUUAGGUCUAGUUUUUAUUAUUGAGCCGAGUUUUGGGCUUUGAGUAGUUUUUAAUGUUGCUUGGACAUGCAUUCUGUAUUGUAAUCCUCUUUGGGUUUUUGAAAUCUAAUCUUGUUUUAUUAGGUUUAAACCUUUUAACUAAUCAACUUGUGUAUCAACAAUUGACGGUCUGUUAAAAAAUUGAUUAACAGUUUUUUUUUUA